UACGUAGGGGGCUAGCGUUGUCCGGAAUCAUUGGGCGUAAAGAGCGUGUAGGCGGCCCGGUAAGUCCGCUGUGAAAGUCGGGGGCUCAACCCUCGGAUGCCGGUGGAUACUGUCGGGCUCGAGUACGGAAGAGGCGAGUGGAAUUCCUGGUGUAGCGGUGAAAUGCGCAGAUAUCAGGAGGAACACCUAUUGCGAAGGCAGCUCGCUGGGACGUUACUGACGCCGAGACGCGAAAGCGUGGGGAGCAAACAGG
rnacentral:rRNA from 1 species